rnacentral:rRNA from 1 species
CCUACGGGUGGCAGCAGUGAGGAAUAUUGGUCAAUGGCCGGAAGGCUGAACCAGCCAUGCCGCGUGAAGGUCAGUGCCCUAUGGGCGUUAAACUUCUUUUGUGCGGGAGCAAUAAUGGGCACGUGUGGCCAGACGAGAGUACCGUACGAAUAAGCAUCGGCUAACUUCGUGCCAGCAGCCGCGGUAAUACGGGGGAUGCAAGCGUUAUCCGGAUUUAUUGGGUUUAAAGGGUGCGUAGGCUGUGAGGUAAGUCAGCGGUGAAAUGCCCCCGCUCAACAGGGUGAAGUGCCAUUGAUACUGGCAUGCUGGAGUGCGGAUGCCGUGGGAGGAAUGUGUGGUGUAGCGGUGAAAUGCAUAGAUAUCACACAGAACACCGAUUGCGAAGGCAUCUCACGAAUCCGCGAUUGACGCUGAUGCACGAAAGCGUGGGUAUCAAACAGGAUUAGAUACCCCGGUAGUC